rnacentral:rRNA from 1 species
GAUGAACGCUGGCGGCGUGCCUAAUACAUGCAAGUCGAGCGAACGGACGAGAAGCUUGCUUUUCUGAUGUUAGCGGCGGACGGGUGAGUAACACGUGGAUAACCUACCUAUAAGACUGGGAUAACUUCGGGAAACCGGAGCUAAUACCGGAUAAUAUUUUGAACCGCAUGGUUCAAAAGUGAAAGACGGUCUUGCUGUCACUUAUAGAUGGAUCCGCGCUGCAUUAGCUAGUUGGUAAGGUAACGGCUUACCAAGGCAACGAUGCUUAGCCGACCUGAGAGGGUGACCGGCCACACUGGAACUGGGACACGGUCCAGACUCCUACGGGAGGCAGCAGUAGGGAAUCUUCCGCAAUGGGCGAAAGCCUGACGGAGCAACGCCGCGUGAGUGAUGAAGGUCUUCGGAUCGUAAAACUCUGUUAUUAGGGAAGAACAAAUGUGUAAGUAACUGUGCACAUCUUGACGGUACCUAAUCAGAAAGCCACGGCUAACUACGUG